rnacentral:lncRNA from 1 species
CCGCCGUGCCAGGAGCUCCGUUUCGUCGCCAGCUACCUCCUCGCCGAGCCAAGCAAGCCGGAGUGCCCCGAGGAGCCACCAUCGCCAUCGUCUUCCUCCUCGGGCCCCGCCGUCCGUCGCCGUCGAUUCGUCGUCACCGGUUCUCCCCCGACCCCGCUGUGCUGCUCUGCGAGUCCGCCGUGAGCCUCUCUUCCUUUCCCCUCACCUCUCUCUCUCGCGCGUGCCCUGUAGCCGCUGCCCCACGAGUGCCCGAAGCACACCGCUGCACGAACUCGUCGCCGACGAGGCUCCGGUGGCCAAUCGGCCCCGUGCAUAUGCCCGUUGGCUUUGUGGGAGCCUGCAGAACGCGGAGAUGCUACCCGUUGUUCCUCCCGUGCACGGUGGCGCCGUUUCCAUCUGCGCCCGAGCUCCGGCGACCGCCAAAGUCGUCGCCGGCGACGUCUCCGGCCACCCCGAGCUCAACCAUCACCACCAAGAGCUGCGGCUCGUUCCCAGGAACUCGUAGAUGCUCUCCGCCUCCCGUUUGGUGGCCGUAACAUGCAAAUGCACUUCCUCCGCCGCGCUCGGCCUCGCCGGCGGCUAAACGCCGGCGAGAUGACCAGCUUUGACCCCCAGGGUCGCUGACCAGUGGGCCCGACCCCCCCCUAACCAUUUAAUUAAAUUAAACUAACCUCUGUUAACCCCCUGUCACUGACGUGUGGGUCCCACACGUCAGGUUUGACCGGACCAGCCCAGUUGACCGCUGACGUCAUGAUGACGUCAUGCUGGCGCAGUAUAUAAAUUCUGGAUUUAAUUAAAUCAGGAAAAUUCCAGAAAUUGAUUUAAACUUCAAAAAUUCAUAGAAAUUCAACCGUAGCUCAGAUUGAAAUAAUUUAUAUAUGAAAAAUUAUCAGAAAAAUGCAAUCUUUCCAUCUGUACUAGUUUCAUGCAUGAAAAACCAACUUAUACAUGCUGAAUAUGGGAAAACACAUUAUGGCAUAUAUAAGAGACCUAACUUAGAAAUGCAUUUGAACCUUUGGUUCAAAUGGACUUCAAACCAAUUGAACACUAGCUGCAUUAGCUCAACAGCAUCACAUCUACAUGCCAUGUUCAUGCAUCAUAUUGUUGCAUAUGAUUGUGUAUUGAUUGCCGGCACCGUUCCUUCUCGAUAGGUCCUGCUCCGGAGACGUUCCAGAGUACCUGUCUGCAUGACCUGUCAUUGCCACAGUAAAUAGUUGAAACCCACUAGCAUGUGUAGGAGUUGAUUGAAGCCACUGAUGUGUUCCUACCAUGCUAUGCCUGCUAUUGCUUAGAGUGUGUCAGGUCUGGUUCAUUUGGAAUGAAUUGGAGUGUCACAAUAUGUUCUAUUGCUGAGAGUUAAGUGUGUGAACACGAUUUGGUAAAGGUAGCGGUGAGAGGCCAUGUAGGAGUACAUGGUGGGUUGUCUCACUGGAACCGUCCUUAAGCCCUGAGUUCUGUGUAUGUUGUCCAAUGACUCGAUACUACCACACAUUGGGCUCCGGGCGCUCCAAGCCCUCUCGACUUAUUAACCAACUUGAUCUCUGUCCAGGAGUCGCAACUAGUUUCUGGUGUUUGUAGGUAGUGCUAUUUUUCUACCAGGUGGCACCCGGCAGGGUGGCCUUGGGACAGACUAGGCACACGUGGCACGGUGUACCAAGUGGCACCCGGUUGGUGGGCUCGGGAACCCUGCUCACAUCGUUUGGGGCCGUGAGCGACACCCCGGCCGGAUCUCCUUGCGGAUGGAACCCGAAUAGGCGAUAAACCUGGACUAGAGUCUUGUGUGGUUAGUCAGGUCGUGGCCGACACCCUCGCCAGGCUUCCGCUUGAAGGUUGCCGAGAUACAUGACGUGUACAUGGCGGUAAGUGGCGAGAGCGUGUGUGAAGAAGUACACCCCUGCAGGGUUAAGAUAAUCUAUUCGAAUAGCCGGGUCCGCGGUUAUGGACUUCUUGGAUGCUUACAUGGUACAUAGACAACUUGAAGUGGAUACUAUAAAAUGCUCAAGACAAGUGUGAGUGCUAUGGAUGGCCUUCUCGUAGGGAGACGGGGAUGAAUCCAUAGUAGUGUAUUGUGUGGUGAUUAGUGGACUCGUGUACGUUGUUUCACCUCCAGAGUUUCUGGUAGUCGUAGAACAGGAUAGCCACAGAGUCAAAGCUGGCUUGCUGCAACUAAACUCCACAUUAUCUCUUGAUACAGAUGCAUGUAUGAUAGGAUCUGAUGUAAGUCUUGCUGAGUACCUUUGUACUCAUGUUGCUUUAAUUAUGUUUUUGCAGCGGAGACUUCGGUCUUACUAGUGUUCUCGUGGACUUCGACUAGUAGCUAGUACCUCAGCUACGAUCUUGAUCGGAUGUUGUAGAUAGUCAGGCUUCCAGCCUUUUCCAUUUAUAGAUGUCUGUACCCAGACAUGUAAUGCUUCCGCUUGUUGCUUGUAUGCCC